rnacentral:rRNA from 1 species
UGAACGCUGGCGGCGUGCCUAAUACAUGCACGUCGAGCGAACAGACGAGGAGCUUGCUCCUCUGACGUUAGCGGCGGACGGGUGAGUAACACGUGGAUAACCUACCUAUAAGACUGGGAUAACUUCGGGAAACCGGAGCUAAUACCGGAUAAUAUAUUGAACCGCAUGGUUCAAUAGUGAAAGACGGUUUUGCUGUCACUUAUAGAUGGAUCCGCGCCGCAUUAGCUAGUUGGUAAGGUAACGGCUUACCAAGGCGACGAUGCGUAGCCGACCUGAGAGGGUGAUCGGCCACACUGGAACUGAGACACGGUCCAGACUCCUACGGGAGGCAGCAGUAGGGAAUCUUCCGCAAUGAGCGAAAGCCUGACGGAGCAACGCCGCGUGAGUGAUGAAGGUCUUCGGAUCGUAAAACUCUGUUAUUAGGGAAGAACAAAUGUGUAAGUAACUAUGCACGUCUUGACGGUACCUAAUCAGAAAGCCACGGCUAACUACGUG